rnacentral:rRNA from 1 species
UACGUAGGGGGCAAGCGUUGUCCGGAAUUAUUGGGCGUAAAGAGCGUGUAGGCGGUCCGGUAAGUCGGCUGUGAAAGUCCAGGGCUCAACCCUGGGAUGCCGGUCGAUACUGCCGGACUAGAGUUCGGAAGAGGCGAGUGGAAUUCCCGGUGUAGCGGUGAAAUGCGCAGAUAUCGGGAGGAACACCUAUGGCGAAGGCAGCUCGCUGGGACGUUACUGACGCUGAGGCACGAAAGCGUGGGGAGCAAACAGG